AGCGAACGCUGGCGGCAGGCCUAACACAUGCAAGUCGAACGAACCUUUCGGGGUUAGUGGCGGACGGGUGAGUAACACGUGGGAACGUGCCUUUAGGUUCGGAAUAACUCAGGGAAACUUGUGCUAAUACCGAAUGUGCCCUUCGGGGGAAAGAUUAAUCGCCUUUAGAGCGGCCCGCGUCUGAUUAGCUAGUUGGUUGAGGUAAUGGCUCACCAAGGCGACGAUCAGUAGCUGGUCUGAGAGGAUGAUCAGCCACAUUGGGACUGAGACACGGCCCAAACUCCUACGGGAGGCAGCAGGGGGGAAUCUUGCGCAAUGGGCGAAAGCCUGACGCAGCCAUGCCGCGUGAAUGAUGAAGGUCUUAGGAUUGUAAAAUUCUUUCACCGGGGACGAUAAUGACGGUACCCGGAGAAGAAGCCCCGGCUAACUUCG
rnacentral:rRNA from 1 species